rnacentral:rRNA from 1 species
AGUGGACGCAUCACUGGUGUUCGGGUUGUCAUGCCAAUGGCACUGCCCGGUAGCUAAAUGCGGAAGAGAUAAGUGCUGAAAGCAUCUAAGCACGAAACUUGCCCCGAGAUGAGUUCUCCCUGAGACUUUAAGUCUCCUGAAGGAACGUUAAAGACGAUGACGUUGAUAGGCCGGGUGUGUAAGCGCAGCGAUGCGUUGAGCUAACCGGUACUAAUGAACCGUGAGGCUUAACCUUAC